ensembl:lncRNA
ACCACAGCGCUGCACUGCCACCUACUGGGCAUAGAUAGCACCACACGCAAGCAAUGUUCUUCGUUCCAAAUGAAUACAAAUUACAUGCAAACGUGACCAUAUGCGAUGAUAUGAUCAUCAUCGCGUGACCGCGAUAAUGGUCACAUGAUCAUCAUCGCGUGACGCACACGGAAUGUUGUGUGCGUCACGCGAUGAUGGUCACAUGAUCACCAUCGCGUGACGCACACGAAAUGUUGUGUGCGUCACGCGAUGAUGGUCACAUGAUCACAGGUGAAAGAUGACUAGAAAUAGAAUCCAAUGAAGUCAUCAGUCUCUCAAAUCUAAUGCCUGGAAGUCAUUAACAUUCUUCAGUCUGAAGGAGGCACACACAAGAGACACACUCACACAAGAGACACACUCCAUAUUUUAGACUUUAAUCUUCAAUAUUUGGACACUCGAAACUACAGAACUCACGGUAAAUUCAACAGCUGGAAUAACACUGGGAUAACAUUAUAUAAAAGUGAAUAGAACCACCUGGAAUAUAUCACAAUGUCCAUCCAGGGCCACAAGGUCAUGGGGCCACAUCACCCAACUCCUCCCCAAGUGGAGAGGACCAAUGCAAACAGAGCCAGUCGCUACAGAGGGCUGAUCAACCCGCGACAAAAGGAACAGCAGAUAUCACAAAAGACACUGCGCAGACCUUGGGUUCCACCGAGCCACAAUGACUUGGGCAAACUAUGUUUGUAUGUGGAAACAAGUCGUCUGGAGAGGAGCGAUGAUGAAAGAAGAAACCUGGCAAAGGAUGAAUACCAGGAUGUUCUGAGGACAAGACCGAGUGUAUGGGAAGAGGUCGAGGCUGUACACGAUGAGAGAAACAUUCAGAGUAAACUUGUACAGAAUGAAUUGGGGGAAGAUCGACGUCUCAAAAUGGAAAAACUACCUCGAAUUCUUCACAAACGCAUGGCAAUGGAUGAAUACCAAGAUCUUCUGGGGACAAGACCGAGUUUAUGGGAAGAGGUUGAGGCCCUACACGAUGAGAGAAACAUUCAGAGGAAACAGAAUGAAUUGGGGGGAAAUCGACUACUCAAGCUUCGACAACAGCAGAUAUCACAAGAGACACUGCUCAGACCUUGGGAGAAGGGAACUGUUGUAAUUGAGACAGUGAAAGAGUUGGACAACUUCAAGGUGUCCACCCAGGGCCACAAGGUCAUGGGACCACAACACCCAACUCCUCCCCAAGUGGAGAGGACCAAUGCAAAUAGAGCCAGUCGCUACAGAGGGCUGAUCAACCCGCGACAAAAGGAACAGCAGAUAUCACAAGAGACACUGCGCAGACCUUGGGUUCCACCGGGCCAAAAUGACUUGGGCAAACUACGUCCAACUCCCCCACAAAAAGGGGUGAGGACGAAAACACAAACUGGCACUCAGUACAGAAGGCUGAUCAACCCAACAGAGUCCUCUGUGGAAACAGGUUGUCUGCAGAGGGGCGAUGAGGGAAGAAGAAACCUGGCAAAGGAUGAAUACCAGGAUGUUCUAGGGAGAAGACCGAGUGUAUGGGAAGAGGUCGAGGCCGUACACGAUGAGAGAAACAUUCAGAGUAAACUUGUACAGAAGGAAUUGGGGGAAGAUCGCCGAAGACUUGUAAACAGAGUCAAAAUACGUUUAGCAAGGCGGUAAGAGAUGCUAAACGACUGUACUCUGAGAAACUCCAACAACAGUUCUCAGCAAGUGACUCUGAUUCGGUUUGGAGAGGCCUCAAACACCUCACUAACUACAAGCCAAAAACCCCCCACUCCAUGAAUGACCUCCACCUGGCAGACGAGUUGAAUGAGUUCUACUGCAGAUUCGAAAGACAAGGUCCUGAUCCCAUCCCCCACAGCUCCACCAACCUGCCCCAGUCCCCUACCCCUCCCUCCCCCAGCCCAUCAGGUGCUCACGCCUCUUCAUCUAUAUCACCUUCCCCUCCCCCACCAGCAACGACCCUCUCUAUUCUGGAGAGAGACGUUGACCGGCAAGGCAGCCGGACUCCGUCUCCCCUCACACCCUGAAGCAUUGUGCUGACCAGCUGUCUCCGGUGUUCACUGACAUCUUCAACACCUCCCUGGAGACAUGCCACAUACCAGCCUUCUUCAAGGCCUCCACCAUCAUCCCUGUUCCCAAGAAGCCCAGGAUCACAGGACUCAAUGACUACAGGCCCGUCGCCCUGACCUCUGUAGUCAUGAAGUCUUUUGAACGGCUAGUCCUGACCCACCUGAAGUCCCUCACCCCCCGUCCUAGACCCCCUGCAGUUCGCCUACAGAGCCAACAGGUCUGUAGAUGAUGCUGUCAACAUGGCCCUCCACUACAUCCUCCAGCAUCUGGACUCCCCAGGAACCUACGCCAGGAUCCUGUUUGUGGACUUCAGCUCUGCUUUCAACACCAUCAUCCCGUCUCUGCUGCAGGACAAACUCUCCCAGCUGCACGUGCCCGACUCCACCUGCAAGUGGAUCACAGACUUCCUGUCUGACAGGAAGCAGCACGUGAAGCUGGGGAAACAUGUCCCAGCCUCUCGGACCAUCAGCACCGGUUCCCCCCAAGGCUGCGUUCUUUCCCCUCUGCUCUUCUCCCUGUAGACCAACAGCUGCACCUUCAAUCACCAGUCCGUCAAGCUCCUGAAGUUUGCGGAUGACACCACCCUCACUGGACUCAUCUCUGGUGGGGAUGAGUCCGCCUACAGGUGGGAGUCUGACCAUCUGGUGUCGUGGUGCAGCCAGAACAACCUGGAGCUCAACGCUCUAAAGACAGUGGAGAUGGUUGUGGAUUUCCGGAGGAACAGAGCCCCACCCUCCCCCAUCACCCUGUGUGACUCCCCCGCCACUAUUGUGGAUUCCUUCCGUUUCCUGGGCUCCAUCAUCACCCAGGACCUCAAGUGGGAGCUGAAGUGAAGAACUGGCUAAACGUUUUUGGUUUGGUUUACUCCGUGUGCUACGGUUUUCCCAAAAAAACUUUAAAUCAAUCAGACUAAUGUAAUCAAGUUAAGAUAAGACAUAAUUUGGUAGUUUACACUAUGGCCGUGCCGUCGGAUGGUUGUCGUUCUGUUAAACUGGUUGAAUCUUUUUUAGUGGGUUUACUCCGUGUGCUACGGUUUUCCCAAAAAAAUCAGAUGAGCAUACUCUCUGGGCCCCCCUCCGUGAUCCUUACAACCAGGACGAAUUGUUUCACAGUCCACUCAUCAGCACUGGUGGAUAAAGCUUCAGGAAGAACUGGUGAGGAGCUGAUCAUUUGUAUCUGGGAGAACUUAAACAUCAACAAACACACACAAGCCUUUGUAAAGAUGCUCUAACUUAUACUAUUGUUUAUUUAAUCCGAGGAAGAGACUCAAACCUUAAAAUGGCCCUUAAUCCAUUCCAGGCACCUACAAUUACAUUACAUUACAUUACAGGUCAUUUAGCAGACGCUUUUAUCCAAAGCGACUUACAUUACACUUUAAACCCAUGGCUUUUUUUCACAUUUUCGCCCGGGGAGCAAUUAGGGGUUAGGUGUCUUGCUCGGGGACACUUCGACAUGGAACAUGGGGCAGCCUGGAAUCGAAACAACAACCGCGUGCUUCCCAGCGCACCUUCUCUAACCCCUGCGCCACGACGAUCAAUUCUAUCUGGGAGAACUUAAAACAUAAAAAAACACACACAAGCCUUUGUAAAGAUGCUCUAACGUAUAGUAUUGUUUAUUUAGUCAGAGGAAGCGAGUCAAACCUUAAAAUGGCCCAUUAAUCCAUUCCAGGUACCUACGAUAAAUCAGGGUUGUGUAAUGGAAAUACCAGGUGUCUGUAAUGAACAUUUAUCUUUUAAUAAUGAAACACAAGGACACAUUCAUGAGCCUUUAUUAAAUAUGUCAACUUUUCAGACAAAGAAGCUUUAAAUGUAUUGGUCAUACGACAUAUACAAUUUUAAAAAAGCAAUAAAUCUUAUUGUUACAAAUUGUUUAUCUGUCACUAAUUGUUGUGUCCUGGUGUUUUACCGUUAGUUUGGGGUAAUAAUUGUUGUACAAUGUUAUAACCAUUACUCCAUCUCAAUACACGUAGGUCAAAGAGCUCCGACGGCUGGGACGAUUCAGCUACCUUUCAGACUACCCUGGCAACGUGUUUUUUCCACAGCACAUAGAAAAAAAUCUAGCCAUUUAAAAAUAUAUAUUUGGCACCUUUGAGCAACUUUUGUAAAGUGACUCGAAUGCUAAAUUGCACCCAUUUUCCCUUCAAAUGACACAAAAAUAUGUGCUUGGCUGCAAAAGUGCAUUGUGCGUGACUUGAACAGCAGGCGCUCAGCUCGUGCACAACAGCCUGGAGACAGCUGGAAAGAGAUGCCUAGUGCACACAUCAUCAUCAUUAUUUGAGUUAAGUUGCUUGUUGAAUAAAAU